rnacentral:rRNA from 1 species
UACAGAGGGUGCGAGCGUUAAUCGGAAUUAUUGGGCGUAAAGCGUGCGUAGGCGGUCAAGUAAGUCGGGUGUGAAAUCCCCGGGCUCAACCUGGGAAUUGCAUUCGAGACUGCGUGGCUAGGGUGCGGAAGAGGGAAGCGGAAUUUCCGGUGUAGCGGUGAAAUGCGUAGAUAUCGGAAGGAACACCAGUGGCGAAAGCGGCUUCCUGGUCCAGCACCGACGUUCAGGCACGAAAGCGUGGGGAGCAAACAGG